CAGGCCUAACACAUGCAAGUCGAGCGGUAUUGUUUCUUCGGAAAUGAGAGAGCGGCGUACGGGUGCGGAACACGUGUGCAACCUGCCUUUAUCUGGGGGAUAGCCUUUCGAAAGGAAGAUUAAUACUCCAUAACAUAUUGAUUGGCAUCAAUUAAUAUUGAAAGCUCCGGCGGAUAGAGAUGGGCACGCGCAAGAUUAGCUAGUUGGCGAGGUAACGGCUCACCAAGGCGAUGAUCUUUAGGGGGCCUGAGAGGGUGAUCCCCCACACUGGUACUGAGACACGGACCAGACUCCUACGGGAGGCAGCAGUGAGGAAUAUUGGUCAAUGGGUGCAAGCCUGAACCAGCCAUCCCGCGUGAAGGACGACUGCCCUAUGGGUUGUAAACUUCUUUUGUAUAGGGAUAAACCUACCCUCGUGAGGGUAGCUGAAGGUACUAUACGAAUAAGCACCGGCUAACUCCGUGCCAGCAGCCGCGGUAAUACGGAGGGUGCAAGCGUUAUCCGGAUUUAUUGGGUUUAAAGGGUCCGUAGGCGGACUUAUAAGUCAGUGGUGAAAGCCUGUCGCUUAACGAUAGAACUGCCAUUGAUACUGUAAGUCUUGAGUAUAUUUGAGGUAGCUGGAAUAAGUAGUGUAGCGGUGAAAUGCAUA
rnacentral:rRNA from 1 species